CUAUUUUAAAACUCCUAAAGUCAUCACACAUAAAAAGGCUUGACUAGACCAUUUGACUAAACAACCUUGAAGCU
rnacentral:lncRNA from 1 species